ACUGUACAGUAGAGUUUGAUCAUGGCUCAGGAUGAACGCUGGCGGCGUGCUUAACACAUGCAAGUCGAACGAUGAUCUCCAGCUUGCUGGGGGGAUUAGUGGCGAACGGGUGAGUAACACGUGAGUAACCUGCCCUUGACUCUGGGAUAAGCCUGGGAAACUGGGUCUAAUACCGGAUAUGACUGUCCCGCGCAUGCGGUGGUGGUGGAAAGCUUUUGCGGCUUUGGAUGGACUCGCGGCCUAUCAGCUUGUUGGUGGGGUAAUGGCCUACCAAGGCGACGACGGGUAGCCGGCCUGAGAGGGUGACCGGCCACACUGGGACUGAGACACGGCCCAGACUCCUACGGGAGGCAGCAGUGGGGAAUAUUGCACAAUGGGCGAAAGCCUGAUGCAGCGACGCCGCGUGAGGGAUGACGGCCUUCGGGUUGUAAACCUCUUUCAGUAGGGAAGAAGCGUAAGUGACGGUACCUGCAGAAGAAGCGCCGGCUAACUACGUGCCAGCCGCCGCGGUAAU
rnacentral:rRNA from 1 species